GGAAAGCAUGCGAACUGGUGAGCGGCCAUCUUGGAAAGAUGGUACCCUGAGAGGGGCUGGGAGUUCGAGCCUCCCGCUUUCCGCCA
rnacentral:tRNA from 1 species